ACUAAUAUCUGGUUGUAAGCAUCUUUUAAUUUAAAAACGUGUUUCUGGGUAUACUUUGAUAUUGAUAUAAGAUUUAUUGCCAUCAGUUUACUUGGCACAGAUAAAAUAGUUCUCAAUUUUGUGCACAGUAGUAUACAAUCAUGUGGCACUCAACAAAACAAGGCGUAUCAUUUUUUAAAUUAUAUAUAGAACUGAAUCACAUUUAAAUCGUGUAAUGGCAGUGUGUUCGUAACCGAAGUUCUCCAGGGACAACGACGAAUUCAUUAGUGCACCGCGACAGCCGCCGUAUCCAUCGACUGUUGUUCGUGCUCGAAUCAGGGCGGGGCCAAUUGCCCAGAUUUCGCUCCCCAUGGUGCUCCCAAGUUGCAGCGACAACGCUUUUUGUCCAUCCACCCCUUUCUUUCCCCCACGUCCUACAAGGCUACAACGCACCCUUGGACUGUAUUCAUGUGGUAGUGCCUCAAGCUUACGUUAUGUGUGAGCGUUUGGUUCAUUGGUUGGUUUCCAGUUAUGCUUUGGGAGGCGAGAUUGGGUUCAGACGAGUUGAGCUACCUGUUCUAAUCACAGAGGCUGAACUGCGAGUUUCAGAGGGCAAUGUGCUAUGUAAUGGUGUGAUCUAUCUAUUUUUCUUUUCUUUCGAUGAUAGCAAUUUUUUGUUCAGGUGAAGGCUUUUGUUGAUGUCCCAAUGUGAAGGUACAACGCUGGCUCAUAUAUCUUCAUAUUUUAUCCUGUCUACAAAUCUCCCAGAUUUUAGUUUCCACUUGCUUUGAAUCAACGAAAAGGAGACAUGCAAUAAUUUAGUUCCCCCUUCCCUUGUAGAGUUGAUGUUUCCUCUUCCUUUAAAGAGUUGAUGCACAAGAUUCAUCCUGGGCCAAAGUUUGUGGAAUAUUUUCCAAAAACCAGUAUAAACAAGAACCUAUUAUGAGAUUAUUCACAUGAUUUAUCAUAGGGAAGGUAUAGAUUUGGUGCUAGGCACAAGUGAAGAAAUAGAAAUAUUUUCCAUCUCCAUGACAUCUGUUUCUUUUUCCUUAUAAAGAACUUGUUUGUUUUCUAGAUUAUGGUUGUUCGGUUCAUUGUCCCUGCUCCCUGCACCCACAAAGAGGAUGGCGAAGGCGGUGCAGGGAGCUGACGGCCUGUCCGCGGUGAGGAGGUGAUGGAGAAACAACCCCACACUUGAUGGGUAGGUGCAGGGCGGGGAGGGUGCCGGCCAGGAAGGCGAUUUUGUACAUGAAUGGGUGUCUUUAAGAGUGGCUUCAAAGUCUAUAUUUGAGAUGACGGCUCUCGGCAGAAGGCGAGGGCCCGUCUAUUAGACGGAUGACCACGUGGUGGCCUUCUAUUCGUUAGCGUUUGCGGAGAGCAGGCUCUCGGCAAAGAUCAGUGAGUAGCUCAGACUUCAUAUGAAUAAUCAACUAAAAGAAUAGGUGAGUAGUUGAGACUUCAUAUAAAGAGCAAUAAUGUAAUAGGUAUCCAGGCAUUUUCUGUUUA